AGCCCUCCCUUUUUUUUCCUCAGCCGCGUAAUGGCUGCUCCCCAGACACAGGGGGCUGCUACCCAAGGAGAGGAGGACGGUGAUGGCAACCGUGGCGGAACUGGGGGUGUCAGUUAUGAGGACAGUAAGGAUUGUAUCCUGGAGCCGCUUUCCCUGCCAGAAAAUCCAGGUGGCACCACCAGUUUAGAAGGUUCUCCAUCUGUGCCUUGUAUUUUCUGUGAAGAACAUUUUCUUAUAGAUGAACAAGACAAACUUCUGAAGCACAUGAUCAUUGAACAUAAGACUGUCAUAGCUGAUGUUAAGUUGGUUGCUGAUUUCCAAAGGUACAUUUCAUAUUGGAGGAAAAGGUUCACUGAACAGCCCAUUACAGAUUUUUGUAGUGUGAUAAGAAUCAAUUCCACAGCUCCAUUUGAAGAACAAGACAAUUAUUUUUUGCUGUGUGAUGUUUUACCAGAAGAUAGAAUACUUAGAGAAGAACUUCAGAAGCAGAGACUGAAAGAAAUUCUGGAACAACAGCAACAAGAGCGAAAUGAUAACAAUUUUCAAGGCAGUUGUAUGUUUUGCAAUGAGGAAUUCCUCGGAAACAGAUCUGUUCUUUUGAACCAUAUGGCCAGAGAACACACUUUCAACAUUGGGUUGCCAGACAACAUUGUGAACUGCAAUGAAUUUCUGUGUACAUUACAGAAAAAGCUUGACAACUUGCAGUGCUUGUACUGUGAAAAGACCUUCAGGGACAAAAAUACACUUAAAGAUCACAUGAGGAAAAAACAGCAUCGUAGGAUCAAUCCUAAGAACAGAGAAUAUGACCGAUUUUAUGUCAUCAAUUAUUUGGAACUUGGAAAAUCCUGGGAAGAAGUUCAACUGGAAGAUGAUCGGGAGUUGCUAGAUCAUCAGGAAGAUGACUGGUCUGAUUGGGAAGAACACCCUCUCUCUGCUGUCUGCCUAUUUUGUGAAAAGCAAGCAGAAACAAUUGAGAAAUUAUGUGUCCACAUGGAGGAUGCACAUGAAUUUGAUCUCCUCAAAAUAAAGUCAGAACUUGGACUGAACUUCUAUGAGCAAGUGAAACUAGUCAAUUUCAUUCGGAGGCAAAUUCACCAAUGUAGAUGUUAUGGCUGCCAUGAGAAGUUCAAGUCCAAAGCAGACUUAAGGACUCACAUGGAAGAAGCUAAACAUACUUCACUGCUUCCUGAGAGACAGACAUGGGAUCAACCACAGUAUUAUUUUCCAACCUAUGAAAAUGACACUCUGCUAUGUACCCUGUCUGACAGUGAAAGUGACCUGACAGCUCAGGAACAAAAUGGAAAUAUCGCCAUCAUUAGUGAAGAUACAUCUAAACUGCAUGCUUUGAAACAAAGCAGUAUUUUGAACCAGUUGCUACUACAUGAGUCCUUGAAAAACUAGAAGAAACUGCCACAGAAGCAAUGUUUCAUGUUUUCUCCAAUGAGACAGAUGCAAAAGAAUACUUUAAAUUUGAACAUCAGCAAAGGAUUAGUCUUUGGCUUUCGUCAUCCAGCAAGUCACAAAAUUUGACAGACGUGUGCUUUCUGUACUACACUGGGUCAGCUGUGAAUGUAGUGACCAAAAGAGGAGCCACAGAAGAGAGGAACAGUGGUCAAAGUCCUGGAUGAUGCACAAAUCGGACACUGUUUCGGAAAAAUCAAAAUCUGACUAUGUUAUUAUUAUUGCUUUCCACCUGGAGUUAUUAAACUCCCUAGAAAUGGACAUCAAGACAAAUAACUUUACUUUCCCCUACAGUGUAUAUACGGCUAACAGAUGAGUACCAUUUUUUUAAAAACAACCACAAUACCAUUAUGACAUCUAACAAAAUUAACAAUAACUUCUUAAUAUCAUAUGUUUUCGGUUUUCCUUAGUUGUCUCAAAAAUGUCUUUUUACAACAUUACCAGUUACAGGACAAAUAUUGUAUGCCUCCUGAUAAGAUGCAAUGAGGAAGACAAAACAUCACCUUUCAGGGUUCUUCCCCAAAAUGUAUAAUGUGAAUAUACUGAAGAAACAUCAACUAAACCCAAGUGAGGGACAGUCUACAAAUAAUUGGCCUUUACUCUUCAAAAAAAUCAAGGUCAUGAAAAACAAAGACUGAAGUAACUGUACCAAAUUAAAGAAGACUAGAGAGGUAUCACAUUGUGUAAUCCUGGAUUGGAUCCUGGACCAAGAAAAUAUGGUUUUCUUCUGCUGUAAAAGAUAUUAGUGGGACAAUUAGCAAAAUUUGAGUAAGAUCUGUAGUAAAUGUUAUGGUAUUCAUAUUAAUUUCCAGAUUUCAGCAAUUGCAGUGUAGUAUGUGUAAGAAUGUUCUUGUCUUUAGAAAAUACACACUGAAGUUGUUAAGGGAAAAGGAGCACUUUGUUGGCAAUAAAAAACUAAUAUGGGAAAAAAAAAAAAAAA